AUUGAACGCUGGCGGCAUGCUUUACACAUGCAAGUCGAGCGGCAGCGCGGGGGCAACCCUGGCGGCGAGCGGCGAACGGGUGAGUAACGCAUCGGAACGUAUCCUGUAGUGGGGAAUAACUCAUCGAAAGGUGAGCUAAUACCGCAUAAGCUCUGAGGAGGAAAGCGGGGGACCGAAAGGCCUCGCGCUGCAGGAGCGGCCGAUGUCCGAUUAGCUAGUUGGUGAGGUAAAGGCUCACCAAGGCGACGAUCGGUAGCUGGUCUGAGAGGAUGAUCAGCCACACUGGGACUGAGACACGGCCCAGACUCCUACGGGAGGCAGCAGUGGGGAAUUUUGGACAAUGGGGGAAACCCUGAUCCAGCCAUGCCGCGUGAGUGAAGAAGGCCUCGGUGUAAGCUCUUCGUACGG
rnacentral:rRNA from 1 species